CGGGAUGUGGCUCAGCUUGGUUAGAGCGCCGUCUUCGGGAGGCGGAGGUCGGCGGUUCAAAUCCGCCCAUCCCGA
rnacentral:tRNA from 1 species